UAGGGAAUCUUCCACAAUGGGCGAAAGCCUGAUGGAGCAACGCCGCGUGAGUGAUGAAGGCCUUCGGGUUGUAAAACUCUGUCAUUCGGGUCGAACCGGAGUCUGAGGACAUGCAGACUCUCUGACGGUACCGGAGGAGGAAGCCCCGGCUAACUACGUGCCAGCAGCCGCGGUAAUACGCAGGGGGCAAGCGUUGUCCGGAUUCCCUGGGCGUACCGCGCGCGCAGGCGGUGAUGUAAGUCUGAGGUGAAAACCCGAAGCUCAACUUCGGGACUGCCUUAGAUACUGCGUCACUGGAGGAUAGGGGAGGCAAGGGGAAUUCCACGUGUAGCGGUGAAAUGCGUAGAGAUGUGGAGGAACACCUGUGGCGAAUGCGCCUUGCUGGCCUAUUUCUGACGCUGAGGCGCGAAAGCGUGGGGAGCAAACAGG
rnacentral:rRNA from 1 species